UGACUGAUGAGGGAAGAGGAGAGUUUUUUCCUGAGCGCUUAAAAAUCCUUUUCUGAAGACUCCUCUAGUGUCUGAGAUCUUUCUUGCUUGGUUCUUUUGCAGGCAGGAGCAGAGAGCAGGAGCAGUUGCUGAGACACAGCUAUAAGUCAUACAACUUUUAACAUCGCUGUUUAUUCUCCAUCGAUAUUGUCUGCAGAAGACCAGAGUCUGUGCUUUCAGUGUGUCUGUCUCCUACGUGCUGGGAUUCCUGCUAUUAUGGAACAGAAUUAUUGCUUUUAGCCUGGAUUUCCAGCUACCGGAGAGUCAGUGUUGAAAUCUGGAGGUGAAAUUCCAUGGUGAUUUCCUAGAAUUGUAUUUCAGGUCAAAGCCCAGAGCUGCUGUAGAACACGCCAGCACUGCUGGAUGCAUUGUGAUCAGCUGUGACGUGUGGAAAGCGUAUAAAAAUGUAUUACUAAAGAAGUAAGAGAGAAAAAGAGAGAAAGAGUUCCGUACACUCAAACUACGAAUUUUAAAACUUUCCAUUGUUUACUUAUCUAAUUAAGAAUCUAUCUCCAUAUAGGCACAUGAACGGCAGCGUGUAAGCUGAGAACUUGCUUUCUGGGAGUGUUCACUACAGUAGAAGAGGCUCACACACAUCAGCUGGAAAUAUAAAACUAAAAAAAACAAGACAAAAAUCCAAGAGAACAGGCAGAAUCCAACAGUAACAGAUCUGCACGGCAUUGUCGUUGGUGAGUCUCUGUAGCCGUGACCCAUUCCUGAGCUUGGCUCUGCAGCCUGCAAGGAGGUGAACCAUUUAGCUCGGAGGUGCCACGGGUUUUUGAGAGGAGCUCACUGCCACCGUCUCAUCAGCUGCGGGUUUGAGGCGUUCGGCAGCAGGCUCGUGCUCGAGCGGUGGAAGUCCUGUAUUUCUUCAGGACAAACAAGUACUUGCUCUGGUACGUCAUUGCUGACAUUAACAAGAGCUGAAUAUGUGGUUUUCGGUGAUCCUGUGGGUGCUUCUAUAGAAACGGACAUAUUGGCUUUGAACAAUCACACAAAAAAGGAAUUCAUUCAUACAGGAUAUAGGUAACGCGCAGCCGAGGGCUCGCCGCAAGUAGUGCUUUGCUUUGGAAAGGUCAGAAAAAAAAUGGGUUCUCUUUCUCCUGGUGCCGCUAUAUUUUGUGCUUACAUGGCAACACUUUUUAUCGCUUCAGCCUGUUUGUCAUGUAUAUGAUAUCCUGCUUGCCAGUGCCCUGGCCAAGCCAUGCGAAAAGUUUAAACAGAAUAAAUAUUCGUAUUUACCGAUGAGGAAAUUUCAUCCGAGCGUCUCAACUAUUAAUUCAUUAACAUGUCCCCAAAGAGCAUGAACAAAGCCUCAUGUCCAGGUCAGAAAUUUGGCUGUAGCCACUCACGUAUGUUUUGGCACUGCUGGGAAUAGGAAUUAGGAAUUGCAGCUGCCAUACAUCCCUCGUAAGCAGUCCUUGUUACUUAUCUUUCACAAUGCUGAUCAAUAAAUGUAGCAAACCUGAAGCUCUCAGCACUUUCCAGUGCAGGGUUGGGAAUGCUUUAGUAACAUUUAACUUCACCUCCUUAUGAGUGUGGGAAGUGGAAGUUUAUAACGGAGAAUAAUUCUUGACAUCGACUAAUGUGUGUGACACAAAACACUCACUAUCAAGGAACGGGCUAGUUCUGAGGAUCGUUUUCCCCCGUUUGAUUUAUGCUCGACAGAUGCAAAAACCAUCUCAAAUACAGCUGCGUUAAGAAAAGAACACGCAGGCAUUUCCAUGACUUUCAUCUUGCUUUGUAUUUAUGUCAUUAUAAAACAUGCUUUUGUGGCAUGCACAACCGAGGGGCAGAACAUCUGGUAAAGUCUUGUUACAGCAAAAUGUCCAUAAAGUUAAAUAUGAUUGUUGUCAUCGUCGUCUUUUUUUUUUUUUUUAAACAACAACAACAAACAGCUGGCUAAUAUUACGACUAGUAAUAAUACUGACUGUGAGUGAUACAUGCUGAAAUGAUGGUUGCAGACUCACAAGGUGGAGAGGCAGAGAGAGGUCACAGAGUUUCUCGGUCGUGGGCUGGGGCAGAGGAGUGUGCGAUGGUGGGUACCUCUGCGCGGGUAGAACGGCCUUUCGAGUCACCCUCGAAAUCGAACAGGCCCUUCUGGUACCGUCCUUUGUUUGCUCUUUAUUUCUAUAUUUCCGGUAGGGUUUCUGCCCAAAUGAUUAAGUUAUUUUGAUUCCAUUGCAUUUUUUCCAGUAGCCGUUUCAGGCACCAAGCAAGUUGUUUAAACUCUGAUGUAUAAAGGCUCCCAGAAAACGACAUGUGUGCUCUUUGUGUGACUUGGUAUUGGUCUUCAGCGUGCUCCCAGUGCUCAGCUGCAGACUGGAAAAGACCUCCACCUCUCGCUCCGCCGACCCAGCUCUGCAUUAAAGGCUUGUAGGCCAGUGGCAAG